GAUGAAGAACGUAGCGAAAUGCGAUACUUGGUGUGAAUUGCAGAAUCCCGUGAACCAUCGAGUCUUUGUACGCAAGUUGCGCCCGAAGCCAUCAGGUUGAGGGCACGUCUGCCUGGGCGUCACAUAUCGUUGCCCAAUGCCUAUUGCAGUGCAAUAGGAAUUUCUAGGGCGAAUGAUGGCUUCCCGUGAGCGUUGUUGCCUCGCGGUUGGUUGAAAAUCGAGUCCUUGGUAGGGUGUGCCAUGGUAGAUGGUGGUCGAGUUAGAACGAUACCGAUCAUGUGCAUGCUCCCCAAAAUAUGGCCUCUAUGACCCACACGCGUCUUUUGACGCUCAUGACGAGACCUCAGGUCAGGCGGGGCUACCCGCUGAAUUUAAGCAUAUCAUAAGCGAGGA
rnacentral:misc_RNA from 1 species